CAAAAAAUAAAAAAAUAAAUAAUCCUCAUUAAAUAAUAGUGAAAACUGAAACUGCACAAAGAGAAGUGGAUUGUUUUAUAAGAGGUGCUUGUUAGAGCAACUGGCAACACCUGAUGGCUCACAGGGUUGCCAGGUUAUUAAAGUCCAGGCUGCAGCAGCAGCAGUCAGAGGAGAGAGAAAGAGAGAGAAACUGCUGCUGCUGGCAGCUCUCUGCUCCUCCCCACAGGCACCCUGUUCUGGUUUGGUUAUGUUUUUAGUUUCUUUACUACACUUUACAACAUGCACACACAUCUUAAACUCAUCUACUGACAUCUACACCCCAUACUGUAAAUAUCUAGUUACUUUAAUUUGAUUUAAUUUUGCUUAAUUUGUUUAAUGAAUGUAUGCUUUGUUACCUCUGUAUCAUGGUGUGUCUCCCUCUAGUUGUGGCCACAUGAGCCAGGUUAUAACAAACGGGGGCUCGUCCAUUAGGUGUUGUGGUGACGUGGUCAGUAUCAGUUAUUUUUGGACAACUGUCUCAGGGACACAUCCAUGUGAUUUUUGUGGAGUUGCCUGCUUGCAGGUCGCUUUACAAGCCCGCUGGUCUAAAGUGCAUGAAAACCCACCAGACAUGAAGACUAGGGGGAGAAAGACAGACAUAGAACACCAACAUACCAAAACAAAAUGGGAAAACUGGAGCAGAGAGACUGAGAGAAUAGAGACAAAGGUUGAGGGAUGAUCCAGUGAAAUACCAAGAAUACUUAAGAAACAAAAAAAACGAAGAAAGAAGGAAAGUUGAAGAGUAUCAGUGAAUUAUCUGUCAGGCAGCAAAGACACAUCAGAAAAUAAUGGAGGAAAAGAGCAAAAACACAGGAUGAUGGUGAAAAGAUAGAAAGAGGUGGAGAUAUUUUGCAGGGCUUCUGCACCACCUGGCACUUCAAUGAGGCUGAUCAGACACCAGUGCACAUAACCACUGGGGGGGAGAAAAAAAGGAUAAAAAGAGUAAAAAUCAGUAACUAUAGAAAAUUACAGAAGUUGGAACACAAGAUCAAAGAAAUGCAGAGGAGGGAAGAAAAAUAUAGAAAGUAGUGUCAAAGAUCAAGGCUGAAGCCAACAUCAGACCAGUCAAAGUGUUCUUUAAGAUCAAAGACUGAGAUGGAUGUACAGAAGCACAGACUCCCUCACCAUGUCAGACAGACACUUCUUCUUCACACCACACUUAUGCACCAAAUAAAGGGAAAAAUACAAGUCUGCAAGCUAUAAAGAGAAACGUUAUUCAGAGGAGCACUCACAACUUGUCUUUAUAAUAAGAAAAUGUGUUGAUGUCUCCCACAAAGUGUUCAACAAGACUGAAAGCCACCCAUGUCUCAGGUUCGCAUAUCAGAGAAAUCAUAAGCAAAAAAACAUGGACAUAAUCAAAAAUGUUCUAAGUCGGGAUGACAAUAUUCAGCAGGGAAGAAGGAAACAAUCACAAUAAACAAAAGAGGUUUCUGUCCGACACGAUGCUGAAAUUGUAUCAGAAACUGAUGCUGGAGAUGCCUCAUCUGAAGCUAUCCUAUUCGCUUUUCUGUAGGAUGAAGUCAUUUUGGAUUGUUGCUCCAAACAUCAAUAAUAAGGAGACGUGCUC